rnacentral:rRNA from 1 species
GCAGUCGAGGGGCAGCAUGGUCUUAGCUUGCUAAGGCUGAUGGCGACCGGCUCACGGGUGAGUAACACGUAUCCAACCUGCCGUCUACUCUUGGCCAGCCUUCUGAAAGGAAGAUUAAUCCAGGAUGGCAUCAUGAGUUCACAUGUCCGCAUGAUUAAAGGUAUUUUCCGGUAGACGAUGGGGAUGCGUUCCAUUAGAUAGUAGGCGGGGUAACGGCCCACCUAGUCAACGAUGGAUAGGGGUUCUGAGAGGAAGGUCCCCCACAUUGGAACUGAGACACGGUCCAAACUCCUACGGGAGGCAGCAGUGAGGAAUAUUGGUCAAUGGGCGAUGGCCUGAACCAGCCAAGUAGCGUGAAGGAUGACUGCCCUAUGGGUUGUAAACUUCUUUUAUAAAGGAAUAAAGUCGGGUACGCAUACCCGUUUGCAUGUACUUUAUGAAUAAGGAUCGGCUAACUCCGUGCCAGCAGCCGCGGUAAUACGGAGGAUCCGAGCGUUAUCCGGAUUUAUUGGGUUUAAAGGGAGCGUAGAUGGAUGUUUAAGUCAGUUGUGAAAGUUUGCGGCUCAACCGUAAAAUUGCAGUUGAUACUGGAUGUCUUGAGUGCAGUUGAGGCAGGCGGAAUUCGUGGUGUAGCGGUGAAAUGCUUAGAUAUCACGAAGAACUCCGAUUGCGAAGGCAGCCUGCUAAGCUGCAACUGACAUUGAGGCUCGAAAGUGUGGGUAUCAAACAGGA